UGGGGAAUAUUGGACAAUGGGCGCAAGCCUGAUCCAGCCAUGCCGCGUGAGUGAUGAAGGCCCUAGGGUUGUAAAGCUCUUUCACCGGUGAAGAUAAUGACGGUAACCGGAGAAGAAGCCCCGGCUAACUUCGUGCCAGCAGCCGCGGUAAUACGAAGGGGGCUAGCGUUGUUCGGAUUUACUGGGCGUAAAGCGCACGUAGGCGGACUAUUAAGUCAGGGGUGAAAUCCCGGGGCUCAACCCCGGAACUGCCUUUGAUACUGGUAGUCUUGAGUUCGAGAGAGGUGAGUGGAAGUCCGAGUGUAGAAGUGAAAUUCGUAGAUAUUCGGAGGAACACCAGUGGCGAAGGCGGCUCACUGGCUCGAUACUGACGCUGAGGUGCGAAAGCGUGGGGAGCAAACAGG
rnacentral:rRNA from 1 species